rnacentral:rRNA from 1 species
GACGAACGCUGGCGGCGUGCUUAACACAUGCAAGUCGAACGGGCCUUGUCCCCUUUUUUUUGGGGGUGGGGUUAGUGGCGAACGGGUGAGUAACACGUGAGUAACCUGCCCCUCACUUCUGGAUAACCGCUUGAAAGGGUGGCUAAUACGGGGUGUUCUGGCCUGCUCGCAUGGGUGGGUUUGGAAAGAUUCGACCGGUUUUGGUUGUUUUGGUGGGGGAUGGGCUCGCGGCCUAUCAGCUUGUUGGUGGGGUGAUGGCCUGCCAAGGCUUUGACGGGUAGCCGGCCUGAGAGGGUGGGCGGUCACACUGGGACUGAGACACGGCCCAGACUCCUACGGGAGGCAGCAGUGGGGAAUAUUGCACAAUGGGCGCAAGCCUGAUGCAGCGACGCCGCGUGAGGGAUGGAGGCCUUCGGGGUGUGAACCUCUUUCGCCAGUGAAGAAGGUCCUGCUCUUUGUGGUGGGGUUGACGGUAGCUGGGUUAAUGAAGCGCCGGCUAACUACGUG